AUGGGAUCUUUCCUGAAACCAGAGCUCAUCCCCAAAAGGAUGAGCCCUGACAUAGGGAACUGGAAUUUAAGGAGAAGCCUUGAUCAGUUCAAGACAUCUAAGAAGCUGACACCAAGUCAAGACAAGAAGAUGAAGGCCAAAAAAAUAAAAUAGGAGAAGAGACUGAAGAAGUCCAGGGGGAUAAGGAAAUGGUUGACUUGAAAGGAGAGCAGCAACCUUAGCUUUGAAGAUGACAUUGGUGGGCAAGCCAAUGAGAAAAACCAGAAAACAACAUUCAAAUUAUUUCCUCUGGUACUGCCACCCAAAGAAUGGAGAGAUGGUCAUGAUACCAACUGGAGAGAGUUUGUUUCCCUUCUUCAGGUGAGUGAAGUGAACGAUGAGGAGCCAUUUAGUCUGGGUGGCCCAUGGACAGAUCAACAAACCCACUUCUCCUAACAACUGGCACCAAAUCAAGAACCCACUGAGACAGUAGGAGGAGCCAGAGAAUACUUUUCAGUCAUCCCCUUCUAGAGUUCCCUGCCUCAUCUGACACUGUUGCCCAAUUUAAGAAACUCCUCCUCCCUUGACUUCCCUUUUUCUUUCUCCUGCUGCCCUCUGAACUCUUCUCUUAUUCCUCACUAUCCU
rnacentral:lncRNA from 1 species